UACGUAGGGUGCUAGCGUUGUUCGGAAUCAUUGGGCGUAAAGCGCGUGUAGGCGGUUUACUAAGUCGGGUGUGAAAUCCCUGGGCUCAACCCAGGAAGUGCAUUCGAAACUGGUUGACUAGAAGAUGGUAGAGGAAGGUGGAAUUCCAAGUGUAGAGGUGAAAUUCGUAGAUAUUUGGAGGAAUACCGGCGGCGAAGGCGGCCUUCUGGACCAUUCUUGACGCUGAGACGCGAAAGCGUGGGGAGCAAAC
rnacentral:rRNA from 1 species